UCGGGAAUUGUUCGCAAUGGGCGCAAGCCUGACGACGCAACGCCGCGUGGAGGACGAAGAUCUUCGGGUCGUAAACUCCUGUCGAGCGGGAAGAACGACCCGCGAGCCAAUACCUCGCGGGUGUGACGGUACCGCUAAAGGAAGCCCCGGCUAACUCCGUGCCAGCAGCCGCGGUAAUACGGGGGGGGCUAGCGUUGUUCGGAUUUACUGGGCGUAAAGGGCUCGUAGGCGGCCGCUUGUGUCGGUUGUGAAAUCCCUCGGCUCAACCGGGGAACUGCGACCGAAACUGAGCGGCUUGAAGCCGGGAGAGGGAUGCGGAAUUUCAGGUGUAGCGGUGAAAUGCGUAGAUAUCUGAAGGAACACCCGUGGCGAAGGCGGCAUCCUGGACCGGUCUUGACGCUGAGGAGCGAAAGCUAGGGUAGCAAACGGG
rnacentral:rRNA from 2 species